GGCAGGGAAACACAUCCAAACCAUAUCACUGUCAAAGAUUAACAAAGCUGGACUCUAAAGUGGCAAGGACAGACUUUAAUCAUUUGGAGAGCAAAUAUGAUUCUUGUUCCAGUUUAUUGUCAUCAAAAUGUUAUGAUUUAUGUUAUGUAAUUUUACUUUUAAGGAAGAGAAUAAAUUUCUGUUGUUUUAAGCCACCCAGUUUGUGGUACUUUAUUACAGCAGCCUUUCGAAACUAAUACAGAUAAACUGCAUUUCAGUCAACAAUGUUUUAUAAAUGUUACCUCUCUCAAUCAAGAUUUGGUAUGUGUUGGACAGUAGAAAGUUUGAUAAGUGACUGAAGUAGGUUUUAUGUGCUGAUAUUGAGGAUAGAUCCAUUUGCUUUAAAUUUUAAACCUGCAAAUAUUGGUGAGGUUGACAUCCUUGAGAACAUUGGGACACCUGAGGUUCACACUUGAGCUGUUAGUCAUCACACUAGAUGUGGAGAAGGGCGAAGUGCAUAUUUUAAAACAAGUCCAGGGUUAUUGGUUCUUCU